rnacentral:ncRNA from 1 species
CGCGAUGCCAGGCCGACAGGUCUGGACGCCUUUGGGCGGUGGGGGAAGUCCGGUGAGAGUCCGGCGCUGUCCCGCAACGGUAACCGGCCCCCUGGCCGGAAGCCCGAGUACCCGCUUCGCGGCCCUACCCCGU